UUACAGAGGAAGUUGAGGUGCAGAAACCCACUAACUCUGUUCGAGCCAUCCAGAAGCCAUCUGUUAAGCCUGUUCCAGACAUCCGGAAGCCAUCUAUUAAGCCUGUUCAAGUCACUCAAAAGACGACCAUUAAGCAUGUCACUGUGAUGAAGAAGAAUUCCCAGUCAAAGUAAGGAAAGGAAAAGGAUUCUCCUGGUCUGCUCAGAGCAAGAGAAAAAAGUGUCUUCAAGAGGAUCAGUAAAAGACUUCAGAUAACUUCAAAUUUCAUUAUGUAAAAUUAAUAAAGAG
rnacentral:lncRNA from 1 species